rnacentral:rRNA from 1 species
CCUACGGGUGGCAGCAGUGGGGUAUAUUGGACAAUGGGGGGAACCCUGAUCCAGCCAUGCCGCGUGUGUGAAGAAGGCCCUCGGGUUGUAAAGCACUUUCAGUGAGGAAGAACGCCUGGUGGUUAAUACCCAUCAGGAAAGACAUCACUCACAGAAGAAGCACCGGCUAACUCCGUGCCAGCAGCCGCGGUAAUACGGAGGGUGCGAGCGUUAAUCGGAAUUACUGGGCGUAAAGCGCGCGUAGGUGGCUUGAUAAGCCGGUUGUGAAAGCCCCGGGCUCAACCUGGGAACGGCAUCCGGAACUGUCAAGCUAGAGUGCAGGAGAGGAAGGUAGAAUUCCCGGUGUAGCGGUGAAAUGCGUAGAGAUCGGGAGGAAUACCAGUGGCGAAGGCGGCCUUCUGGACUGACACUGACACUGAGGUGCGAAAGCGUGGGUAGCAAACAGGAUUAGAUACCCUAGUAGUC